GGGAGCAUAGCUCAGCUGGUUAGAGCACAUGCCUUACAAGCAUGGGGUCACAGGUUCGAGCCCUGUUGUUCCCACCA
rnacentral:tRNA from 2 species